GCCUGGGUGGCUCAGUCGGUUGAGCAUCUGACUUCAGCUCAGGUCAUGAUAUCACGGUUCGUGAGUUCAAGCCCCACGUUGGGCU
rnacentral:tRNA from 1 species